rnacentral:rRNA from 1 species
AUUGAACGCUGGCGGCAGGCCUAACACAUGCAAGUCGAACGAGUGGCGGACGGGUGAGUAAUGUCUGGGAAACUGCCUGAUGGAGGGGGAUAACUACUGGAAACGGUAGCUAAUACCGCAUACCAUCGGAUGUGCCCAGAUGGGAUUAGCUAGUAGGUGGGGUAAAGGCUCACCUUGGCGACGAUCCCUAGCUGGUCUGAGAGGAUGACCAGCGACACUGGAACUGAGAAACGGUCCAGAAUCCUACGGGAGGCAGCAGUGGGGAAUAUUGCACAAUGGGCGCAAGCCUGAUGCAGCCAUGCCGAGUGUAUGAAGAAGGCCUUCGGGUUGUAAAGUACUUUCAGCGGGGAGGCGUUACCCGCAGAAGAAGCACCGGCUAACUCCGUGCCAGCAGCCGCGGUAAUUU